AUUGAACGCUGGCGGCAGGCUUAACACAUGCAAGUCGAACGAGUGGCGGACGGGUGAGUAAUGCUUGGGCAUCUAGCUUAUGGCGGGGGAUAACUACGGGAACCUGUAGCUAAUACCGCGUACCAUAGGUUGAGCCCAAGUGGGAUUAGGUAGUUGGUGAGGUAAAGGCUCACCAAGCCGACGAUCUCUAGCUGGUCUGAGAGGAUGACCGGCCACACGGGGACUGAGACACGGCCCAGACUCCUACGGGAGGCAGCAGUGGGGAAUAUUGCGCAAUGGGGGCAACCUGACGCAGCCAUGCCGCGUGAAUGAAGAAGGCCUUCGGGUUGUAAAGUUCUUUCGGUAGCGAGGCGUUAACUACAGAGGAAGCAACGGCUAACUCCGUGCCAGCAGCCGCGGUAAUUC
rnacentral:rRNA from 1 species